GAUGAAGAACGCAGCGAAAUGCGAUAAGUAAUGUGAAUUGCAGAAUUCAGUGAAUCAUCGAAUCUUUGAACGCUCAUUGCGCCCCCUGGUAUUCCGGGGGGCAUGCCUGUCCGAGCGUCAUUACAACCCUCAAGCUCAGCUUGGUAUUGGGCCCCGCCGCUCCGGCGGGCCCUAAAGUCAGUGGCGGUGCCGUCCGGCUCCGAGCGUAGUAAUUCUUCUCGCUCUGGAGGUCCGGUCGUGUGCUCGCCAGCAACCCCCAAUUUUUUUCAGGUUGACCUCGGAUCAGGUAGGGAUACCCGCUGAACUUAAGCAUAUCAAUAAGCGGAGGA
rnacentral:misc_RNA from 1 species